AAAGUCGUAACAAGGUUUCCGUAGGUGAACCUGCGGAAGGAUCAUUACUUGACUGUAAGUCGUUCUCAGGCCCGUCGUCCGCGACGGUGCCCUGGGACCGCCUGACUCUUACCUUGACUACAUGUACCUUUGUUGUUUCCUCGGCAGGUCUCCUGCCGACAGGAACCCCUAUAACCCUUUAUGUAUAGUAUCUAAAUCUCUGAUAACUACAAAAUUAUUUACAACUUUUAACAAUGGAUCUCUUGGUUCUG
rnacentral:misc_RNA from 1 species